GAUGAACGCUGGCGGUCUGCUUAACACAUGCAAGUCGAACGGAAGUAGCAAUACUUUAGUGGCGGACGGGUGAGUAACACGUAAGAAUCUGCCUCCAGGACGGGAAAAACAGUUGGAAACGACUGCUAAUUCCGGAUGAGCCGAAAGGUAAAAAGAAAUUCGCCUGGAGAUGAGCUUGCGGCUGAUUAGCUAGUUGGUAGGGUAAGAGCCUACCAAGGCGACGAUCAGUAGCUGGUCUGAGAGGAUGAGCAGCCACACUGGGACUGAGACACGGCCCAGACUCCUACGGGAGGCAGCAGUGGGGAAUUUUCCGCAAUGGGCGAAAGCCUGACGGAGCAAGACCGCGUGGGGGAGGAAGGUUCUUGGAUUGUCAACCCCUUUUCUCAGGGAAGAAGAUCUGACGGUACCUGAGGAAUCAGCAUCAGCUAACUCCGUGCCAGCCGCCGCCGUAACAC
rnacentral:rRNA from 1 species